rnacentral:miRNA from 1 species
AGGAAUUAGCCACUCCCUACUUUC